AAGGGUAUAGCUCAAAGUGGUAGAGCGCAUGCUUAGCAUGCAUGAGGUCCUGGGUUCAAUCCCCAGUACCUCCU
rnacentral:tRNA from 1 species